UAUAUAUAUUUAUUAGUGCGCAACAUGAUCAAGCGAACCAAAACAUUCUCAAUCAUUGCAUCCCGAAAGUCUAUAAUACUCCUAGCUGGCUUAAAAGAAAACAUUUAAUUGUUAUAAGAAGUGAGAUCAACUGGAGGACCAAGAAUUCUUUUAAGAGCAAAUAACUUGAGAUUUAACUUUUCUUCAGCAGCUUCUCGUAGUCGUAGAUUUGAAUAAAUAAUCAUUCAUCCUUGAACUAAUUCUAUAAACAUAAGCUAAAGGCCAGAGGCAACCAAAUCUGUCGCUUGGCAAAUAAAGUCACCUAUUGCAAUAUACUCUUAGGUAGUAUUUGGUUCGGGAACAAGGAGGAAAAUAAGCCCUUCUUCCCCCUUUUGUUCCCAAACGAGAAUUUGCGUACCCAAGAACAGUAGUUCUCGGGUUCCUGGAAUAAGCUGGUAUAAGACUGAAACUACCGUUCCACCCUUUUCCCUAGAACAAGCUUGUUCCCAAGUGGGAAUAAGAUUAAUUAAGCCUAAAUUUAAUUUUAACUAUGAUAUGAAAUUAUUAAUUAAUUUAAUUAAUAUAUUUAAAUCAUUAUUCAUUGCUUAAAUAAUAAAGUAAUAAAUUAAUUUAUUAUUUAUAAUCAAUUAGCUAAUUAAUUAUUAAUAAUUUAAUAUGUUUAUCUAUAAAGGUACAGACUGGGUAGGGGGAUUAUAUUGUUAUCUCUGUUUAAUUAUGCUUAAAAAAAUGCUAGAUAUUGGAAAAGUAAUUUAAUAUGUUUAUCUAUAAAGGUACAGUCUGGGUAGGGGGAUUAUAUUGUUAUCUCUGUUUAAUUAUGCUUAAAAAAAUGCUAGAUAUUGGAAAAGAAAAACAGUUAAUAUGGCUCAAAAUAGAUGCAUAGCGUAAUUACUAACUUUCCACUGUAGGAGAAGCCAAAACUCAAGCUAAAAGAGAAAUUAAGAUCAACUCCAAUAGGUACGAUAAACUAACAAAAGAUAUCAGUUUUAAAAGUCACAUAUACACAUUACAAUAUAGAUGAUAUCUAGGACCUUCAUCACUUGCUUCAAACAAAGUACAGAGUUUUUAAGGGCAUAAACCAUUAUCAUUAGGUGAUGAAAAAGUAUUGCUCAAGGACAAAUGGGCAAAAUUAAAGUAUUAAAAUUCAUAAAAUGAACUUACAAU
rnacentral:lncRNA from 1 species